UCCGUUGUAGUCUAGGUGGUUAGGAACUUAGGAUACUCGGCUCUCACCCGAGAGACCCGGGCUCAAGUCCCGGCAACGGAA